GUUUCUAUAGUUGAAGUACAACGAUGAUUUUUCAUGUCAUUGGUCUUGGUUAAUCCAUGUAGAAACU
rnacentral:tRNA from 1 species